CAGAACUAGUGUAUAUUUGGCCAAAAGGA
rnacentral:piRNA from 1 species